CGUAGGUGCAAGCGUUAAUCGGAAUUACUGGGCGUAAGCGUGCGCAGGCGGUCCGCUAAGACAGAUGUGAAAUCCCCGGGCGUUAACCUGGGAACUGCAUUUGUGACUGGCGGGCUAGAGUAUGGCAGAGGGGGUAGGAAUUCCACGUGUAGCAGUGAAAUGCGUAGAGAUGUGGAGGAAUACCGAUGGCGAAGGCAGCCCCCUGGGCCAAUACUGACGCUCAUGCACGAAAGCGUGGGAGCAAACAGGAUU
rnacentral:rRNA from 1 species